rnacentral:rRNA from 1 species
CUUUCCUCUGGGUCAGACUUGUUAAAGCCUAAUCUUGUCUGAUCUCAGAGGCUACACAAGGCUGGACUUGGUUAGUACUUGGAUGGGAGACCACUGGCAAUGCAAUGCAGUGGCAAAA